rnacentral:lncRNA from 1 species
CCCCUCUUAGCCUCCUGGGCAUUUCUCCAGCUCUAGCUCAGGGCGCUGUGGUGACUUGUGAUCCAGCAUCCGUGUCUCUUUAAGCACACUGGAGCGUCCCCCCAUCUCGUCCCCCCCCAAAGACCCUGAUAGUGCCACCUGAGAGGGUCUCUGCUCUGCCAGGAAGGUGUAGGGACAAAAAGAAAUGCACCUCACCCCUCCCUGAUGGCUCUGGGCCAUGCCUGCUGCUUGAAUGAUGGGGUCACCCGAGGACAAUCUCUGGGCUAAGGAAGAGGCUUGGAGGGUGCCCGUCGGUGCCCAGGGCCUGGGGGGAGAGACAGGGAGCAGCUCCCUUGGGAGGGGCUAGCAUGGAAUGGGGGCACAGACCCUUUGGACCAAGAACUCACUCAGAACUGGCUGGGACACAUGGACUGGAACUUCUGGGGAGGAGAGAGAACCUAACACUGACACUGGGGCAGAUCCUGGGGCCCCUUGCCUGAGAGGAAAUUGGAGGACAUCCAGCAGAUCAGAAAGGCCCUGGGGAGGGAAGAAGAGGAUAACAGAGGAGGGAGGAAGAGACAACUGCCUGAGAAUCUGGAUGCAGGAUUCCUUGAAACAGAAAAAAGAAGACAAGGAGAAUGCUUUCUGGAAGGUGGAACUGCUCAGAAGUCAGGCCUCCUAG